UGGGCCACAGCCUAGAGCCUGGUUUUCAAACCACAGCUGCCCCGUCCCCUUCCAGUUUCAGGAAAUCAGUUUAGCUGAUUCUUGCCAGCAUGAAAGACAAAGCAAAGCAAAAAAAAUGAACAAGCCAAAACAAAUCACUAAAGAAGAACAGAACGGGAAGGACGAGGCUCUCCUGCAUGGUAAAGAUUGGAGGCUCCUGGGCUGGAGAGGGACAGAAGAGAUCCUAGCAUGGAGCUCUGUGGAGUACGUGCUUGAGAAAUAACUAUUUGAACCUGACAAACAUUUAAUCUGUCCACGUGGCCCCUGCCUUCUUCCCCGAUCUAAGCCGUGUGGCUGACAGGGUCUUGGUGCUCCGGCUGGGUGUCAGGCCUGAGACUCUGA